UAAAGUCUACAGGACAACUGAUCUAGUACAAUUAUAUAGACAAGAUGAUACCAUGUAUUCAUUUAAACAUUUGUUUUCUUUACUUAAGUGGUGAUAUCUGUAUUGGUGGCAUCAUUUUUCCCCUUAUAGACUCUAUCUGUCAUAAUCCUGUUUCAUUGCUUUACUUAGAAGCAAUUAGUUUCAUGUUAUAUAUCUUUAAAAUAUUCCCAAUUAGCCUCAUGUUACAGGCAAACUGCCAGGCAUAAGGCAAAACAAAACUAGAAAUGCUGUGUGAUCUUUCUGUUUUGAGAUGUUCACCAAUUGACCUUCUAUUUCAAAUAUUUGUGUUCGUGUGUGUGGUGUGUGUGUGUGUAUGUACCUUUUUAGAUUCAUUUGACUUAAUGUGAGGCUUGUUAGUGUCUUGUUACGCUUGUUGGAACUAAAGUCAAACCACUUUAAUUCUUAUGGAAACUAGAGGGAACGAGUAAAUAGAAUCUUGACGCUUGUGUCAUCUUGACCUGGUGCAACACAGGGAGCUCAAGAGCCAGGAAGAUGGACUGUAUAUUGUAGACAUAAGGUCAAGUGUCUGUCCUCCAAAGCUUCCUGUCUAUUCACUAUUCUGGGACAUUUCUAGACUAUGCAAUAUUGUCAAAAUCCUUGCCUAUUGGUAUUUACAUCCUUAAAUGACGUUAAGAGUUAAGAAAGGAAGGAAGGAAAGAAGAAGGAAGAAAGGAAAGAAGACAGAAGGAAGAAAGGAAGGAAGGGGCCAGUUAGUAAAUAAUUACUACACAACUCUGGAAAGGAGCCAUGUUAUUGGAUUAGUGAACAGUAGUGGACAGUAUGUGAUAUCAUGGUUAAGGGAUGGAUCCUCCAAAAGUAAAAGAGCCUGUGUGGGACAAAAACCUAAAAAUGACCCUGAAGGCAGUUCUACUGUCUCAAAAAACGAAGACUUUCAGGUCAUUCUUCAACAUUCACUGAAGACAUCAGCAUCAGCACCACUUCAGUAAGCCCUGCUGGAACCCCGAGGGGCUCCAACAUCCAUGUGUAACAACGGUAGAGGAAAAUGAUGGACAGCACAGCUUCUGAACCGGACACACUUCAGGUCAAAUCUCAGAUGUGCAAGUUAUUAACAGAAUGACUGAAUUAAUCAUUGAAGUUUGUUUUUUUCUUUGUAGAAGGAGAAUAUUCAUUUCUUUUUAGUGAGCAUUCUCCUUUUCUUUAUUUUGUUUUAUAUUAACUAGAUUUUGUAAGUUUUUAUUUUAUGUUUUAAUUUUACAACUGGUUUUUGAUACAUUAUCAUAAUAAUUAACUAGCCUUUGUGGUUUCAUAAUACAGUAUGUAGUAAAUGCUCAGUGCGGUGCUUGUUAUUUGAAUGGCCUCUUCUACCCCUAAGCCACACAGCUCCUGUCCUCCAGGUCUUGAAUGGCAUUCACUUCUUCCUUCCCACUGCAACAUUCUGCCCCUACAGAGAUGCUCUGGGUCACACCCUCUCCAGCUCUCUUUUCUGUGGAGUUGCUUCUCUUCUAACAGCAACAGACAUGUUGCAGCUGCAUCUCCUAUAGUCACCAUUAUCAUAGGAAAAGCCUAAACAUUUAUUUUAUAACCAUAUGUAUGCUUAUCUUUUCUCCUCCUGUCUCACAAGGAAACAGGUUUAUUCUUCUUCAAGGCUAGAACAAUAUUCUAGAUCCUUCCCCUCUUGUCUCUGCCCAGACUUGCACUAUUCCAUAUUACUAUGUUUAACUUCUGCUUUCUAGAAACUUCUGCCCCUACCUGUUAAAUAUAUUAUGGUCUUCCUUGUCUUAAAAAACAGCAAAUAAUAACAGACACAAACUUUCCCAUUACUCUGCCUUGCCCUCUAGAAGCCACUCCACUUUAGUAGCAGUCUGAAUUAAUUGGAGAUCUGUCUCUAUUAUGUACCCGCCACUAUAGUUGACACAUCACUUUUGUUUUCUCAUUUAAUUUAUAGCUGAGCUUAUUGCUGUACUAUUUCUUCAUUUCCAGUCAUUUCUGAACCCUCAUGUAGCUUCUUUUCCCCUUUUUCUUUUCAUGCUACUCACAUUAAGUUUUCCAAUGACUUUUAUCUGUAAGUCCAACAGGCAUUGUUUUACUUUCGUGGAACAUUUUCAGUUGUCACUUGUUUUUAAUUCCUGAUGCAUCUCUGGCAGGUUGCAAUGGGUACUUUAAAAAAUAAUGCAUUUUUAAUAAUGCAUAAUAGAUUAUGAUAUAUUAGAGAACUUCAAAUAAAACUCACUAAAAGGAAUACUGUUUAGGUUGAAUGAUUGAAAAGUUAGUGAUUUCAUAGCACUGCACUUGAACCAUUCCUCAGACUGUCUUCCUCUGGCUUUGGAUCCUUUUUUUGUUUAUUUUUGCUGAGGAAGAUUCACCCUGAGGUAACAUCUGUUGCCAAUUGUCUGCUUUUUUUGUAUGUGAGCCACCACCACAGCCUGGCCACUGACAGGUGAGUGGUGUGGGUCCAUGCCUGGAAACUGAAAUCGGGCCCCCAAAGCAGAGUGUGCCAAACUUAACCACUAGGCCACUGGGGCUGGCGCCUGGCCUUGGAUUCUUUAACAAAACUUUCCAUCUAUGAACAACACUAAGAUUUUCAUGUGUCCCAUCACCUUCACCACUUUCCCUGCUAACAUUUGCACUUCCUCUUCCAGCGGCUGUUUCCAAACUUGAAUUUCAUGGUGCCAAUCUCUCUGGAGAUGCUCUCCUCAUGCAUUCCUGACCUGUUCAUGAGCAGUUCUUCCUCCUGCCUCUCCUUAAGUGUUGGUUUUUCUCAGGUUCUUGCUCUUACUCUUUGUGCUUUGCUUGUGUUCGCUUAUCUACAUUCAAGGCUUCAAUUACAUCUUGAUGACUUCAAAACAAUAUCUCUGGCUCUCUCUUCUCUCAUGAACUCCAGAUUCACAUUUCACUGUCUACUGGAUAUCUCCAGGAGAAUCUCAAACUCAAAACACCCAGAUUGGACUCCUUGUAAAUCUAUUUCUCUUCUUGAUUUUUUCAUCUGAGUUAAUAAUGUCACAAUCUAUCCAACUUAGAGCACUGGAAGUUGUUCCUAAGUCUCCCUUCUCCCUCAUGUCUGGUUCUGAGAUGUCAUUAAUUCUUUUAAUUCUAUCACCUAACUAUAUCCUGAAACUUUGUAGUCCUGUUGCACUGCCAUCCUCGCUCAGGUCCCUAUUUCUUACUUGUGCUAUUGAAUUUAACUCUUAACUGUUCUUGUCCACCUCCAAUAUAAACUCCACCCCAAAACCCAAAUGAGCACUCCACAAUAGAAAUUUCACAUCACUUCCCUGAUUGAAAUCUUCAGCAACUCUUAGGGACCCUGCAUCACUUAAGAUACUGACUGAAUUCAUCAUCCUCCACUCUUGACUUUCUGGCCUCCUGUUUUCGCUGUCCCCAGCCCAUUGUCAGCCAGUAAGCACUGCCUAGAACUGUCUAGAACAAUGAUUGAUAUAUAGUAGGUGCUUACUAUGGGCUGAAUUGUGUCUCCUCAAAUUUAUAAGUUGACAUUCUAACCCCUAGUACCUCAGAAUAUGACUGUAUUUGGAGAUAGAGCCUUUAAAGAGGUAAUUAAAUUAAAAUGAGGUCAUUGGGGUGGGCCCUAAUCUAAUAUGACUGGUGUCUUUAUAAGAAGAAGAGAUUAGGACACAGACACACACAUAGGAAAGACCACGUGAAGACAUGGGAAGAAGAUGGUGAUCUGCAAGCCAAGGAAUGAAGGUUUAGAAGAAACCAAGCCUCCUGACACCUUGAUCUUGAAUUUAUAGUCCCCAGGACUGUGAGAAAGUAAAUUUACCUUGUUUAAGCCACUCAGUUUCUAAUACUUUGUUAUGGAAGCCCAGCAACCUAAUACAGUACUCAAUGAAAUAUUUCUUGAAGAAAUGAACAAUUUUAUCACAAAAAGAUAUUGUUGACUAUUUGGUGAUUGACUAUCCCUGAAAUCCUGCAGCUUGUUUUAAGGAAAUGAGAGUGGAGCAGGCUGGAGAAGACAGACCUUCUAACUACAAUAUUCCGGUAUCAAAAGAUUGCCCAUCUUUGGGCCCUCAUUUUGGAUUUGUGUUAGAUGUUAACUGCACUCUCCUAUUAAGAAAACCUAAAGCAUUAGCAGUAAAGUUUCACCUUCAGUAAGUUCUUUGCAUCUUAGACUGAAGAAAUAUUUAUCAUCUGUAUGUGAAUCUUCAUCUCCCCUCCAUCGCUGCUGAUAGAUUGGGGUGUGGCCUGGGGAUGUUUGUAGGACCCCAGAGGAGGAAAACAGUAUUGUUAACCCUACAGAAUCUACACUCAUUGGAGGUUAGUGGAGUAGCAAGUAUAAGACCUUAUGUAGGUUUAAAAACUCCCUAAGCUUUGAAAAAGAACAAAGCAGACCCUGACAUCCAAAAGCUGGCUGGGCUCUCACAGCUAGGUCAUCUGUUGAACAUAAACAAUUUCACAGAACAAUAACACAAACAGGGCCACUCUUGGGACCACGACAGAUCAAGACAAGAACACAACCACUCCAUUAGCUUGUCCGAACACAAACAUGAACAUUGUCCAAGUCACACACAUGACCCCAAGAUCUCUUCUCCUGGCUCAUACGAGUGACUGUUGCUUCUCUACAAGUGUACAGCCUUUACCUCUGUUCAUGUUUCCUGCCCUAUAGUAAAAUGUAUUAAGAUACCCAAACAUAGAUUCACCUCUGCCUCCACAAGGCCCUGUGUCCUUAAACAUUCUCCAAAGUUACCUAACACAAGCCCAAAUCCUUUCGUAAGUCAUUUCUAACUCCCUGUUACUGAGGUGCCCCGUGGUUUCCCAUGGCAUGUGGUCUCCUUUGUUGCAGCAAGCAAUAAACCAAACACGUUUAACUACGGCUAUGCUCCUGGUGGUCUUUGGCUGGAGGACACUGACGUUAUAUAUGUUUACAGACAGUUAUAUACACAAGUGUAGGUGUGUGCAUGCACAACGAAAAGCCAGGGAAUAUAAAUAUUAAAAUGUUAAUAAUAUUUGUCUCUGGGUGACAGAUUAUGGGUUAAUUUGACAUUCUUAUUUUUUGCUUAUCUAUAGUCUCUGGGUUUUCUACAAUAAAGAUUGUUGCUAUGUGUAAUAAGAGAAAAAUCUAUUUAAAAUGGAGAAGUGAACUUGUGAGAAAUUUCUUAUUCUUUAGAAAUAUUUCUUCAAUGUGUUGGAAAAAGACAGAACAUUCAUGUUCAGACAUUAUAGCUUUACAAAUGAAAUUAUUAGAUAAAUCUUAUUUUGUUUAAAUCAUAAUCCAAACCACAAUUAAUAGACACUUUUAUAAUAGAAUGUAACUAGAUUUUACUGAUUUCACUAUAGACACUGUGAGAAAAACACAGCAAAAAAUAGGAGGCGAUGGCUCACAGUAAUUAACAUUCUUUAAUUCAACUCGUUCUCUGACAAUUCCUUCCCCUGCUGUGUCCUUUUGAAAGCCUUUUUCAAGUUGAUUAAUUCAUCAGAUUUCAACAGUCAACAUCUUUAUUCUGCAAGUAGUACCUGAGAAAUACACAUAAAUUAAUGUCAUGUCUCCAAUUUUUUCCUUAACAUUUUCUCAUAUAGAAAGUUCCAAAUCUAACUCAAUAUAUUUUUCUUCUUAGCUAAUCUAUAUUCAAUGACUCUAGGUCAGUGACCCAUAUAAGAAUAGAAAAAUGUGGGGUGGCCCCGUGGCCGAGUGGUUAUGUUCAUGUGCUCUGCUGCAGCUGCCUAGGGUUUCUCUGGUUCAGAUCCUGGGCGUGGACAUAGCACCACUCAUCAAGCCACGUUGAGGCGGCGUCCCACUUACUACAACUAGAAAGACCCACAAGUAAAAUAGACAACUAUACACUGGGAGGAUUUGGGGAGAAAAAGCAGAAAGGAAGGAAAAAAAAGAAGAUUGGCAACAGUUGUCAGCUCAGGUGCCAAUCUUUAAAAAAAAAGAAAAGAAUAGAAAAAUGCGAUAAUAUUCAAAUAGGAGUUGGGGGGAUGAGGAAGAUAGUCCAUCUUAUUGUUUUCUUGUCUUGAAAUUCCUACAAAUAGGCAUUAUCUCCUAAGGACCCUCUAUUAAAUGAGUUUUUAGAAAUGUAAAAGACAUAAAAGACAUGUACCAAGGUAAGAAUAACAAGAUUAACUUCAUACAGUUCCAAAUUAGUGCAUCAUAAUUUCAGAAAUAGUGUGAAUUCAAUUCUACUUGCUAGGUGGACUGGCUAUGAGGUUGUGGGUACAAGCAGAAGUCACUCUUCUAGGAAAGCCAGCGAAAGAACUUUGACCCAAAAAUAUCCAGAACUGAGGGAUCUUUAAGUAUGGCCCAUCCCUUAACCUGGCCAAAGAUGGACUAUCUUCUCAUGGGCCCCAAUGCCUUCUCUGAAUAUAAUCCAUGACUUUAAAAAUUCCUUCUCAGUUCUCAAGAAGUCGGAUCUGAGAGCAUGCUUCCACCGCUGGAGCAUGCAUUCUGCUGGAAGAGGGGAAGAAGAGAUGAAUGAGAAAUCUAUCAAUCCAUCUCAGGGUUUCUAUGGCAACCAAUGUUGACUUCUUCGACUUUGAUUCUUACAAAUUUGGAGCACAGAUGAUACCAAUUUGAAAUUGUUGCAUACAAGGCUUGAAUUCUUCAAAAACCAAGGAGGAUAGGAUAUUGAUUUUAUGGUAUAAAAAAGAAGAUCUGAAGAAUUGGAUUUGCCAGAUCCUGGCUUAUGCAAAUGAAACUGGCAUUGAACAGAAGGAAGAGCUAUCUGGCCAAACACUCAAACUCCAGAAUUAAAGACUUGUUCAUCUGGAGGAAUGUCAUGCAUUCAACCUUUACCACUGAUGCUUGGGUAGUUCACAAUGUUUUACAAACUCUCAUCAACACAAGGAUUAGUGGUAUGAGCAUUCAAGGGUCAAGGCCAAAUUAGCAGCUUUGUGCUUUCCAUUUUGAGGUUGAAUUCAUACACAGCUGAUAACAUUCAAAUCUCAUCUCAAGUGAUGAGAGCAGAGAAAAUGAAUUGUUGUUGCUUUAAGCAGGACACUGUCUCAUUUCGUGAAUGCAAAUGUGUCGCUCUCUGGUGCAGCUCAAGAUUCUGCUUAUUAUAAACCUAAAACAGUCUGCCAUGCUUUUUGGUGUUUGCAUUGACACAUACAAUAUCAGAGUGCACUAGGAGGAGACAUUGUAUUUUGUUUCAACUAAUUUAUUUCGUGGACACACGUAAAACACCAUUCGUACAACGGGAAUGUCAAAAGCUUCAGAUGGCAAUUUCUAGUAAGGAAUGGUCAUGAAUAAAAUCAAAGUGGAACAAGAUGUGAUAUUUUUUCCUUUCUUCAUUUGGAAUUCAAAUAAUCUUAAGUUCUUGGAUUUAGCUUUUUUAUAUUUACAUGUAUGAAUGAAAUGCCUGUUUCAAAUAAGAUCUGUUCACGACCAGGUUACUGAGCCCCAACUAUAAUAAAAUAUUGAUAAUUUGUGUAAUCUUCUAAAGAAGUACAUAAAUCCAGGUUCGGGCAGUUUGGACUUAGUCACUGAGAGUGGAGUGGAGACACCCACUGCUCCACUCACACCUGAUGAUGAUUUAUGCCUGAUUACCUGCACUUUACGUCAAGAACAAUGAUCCUGGAGGUUGCCUCUUCUCUCAGUAUUGUUCUGCCACUAGAGCCAGCAUCUAUCUUUAAGUUUCAAUUUUCAAUCAGGGUCUAUCCCAGAGGAUCUGGAGGGUUUUCAUUUAAGUUUUGUUGAUUAGAUGAGAGUGUUUUAUGCAUACUUCACAGAUAGAAGCUAAUCCUGAUUGGCUAAUGUCCAAAAUGAGGACGAACAAUCAGGUAACAAACACAUCUUUCUCUUUUUACAUUCUCCACAACCCUUCUCUCCAAAAAAAGAAAAAGCAAGCUAGGCUUAUCUUUGUUUACCUCUGGCAAUUCAAGAAAUCUUCCUUGAGUGUGACUAUGUCUUAGGUACUUGGGAAUAUAAUGAUGAAGAGGGCUGUCACAGAUCCUGCUGAUAAGGAUCUCAGGGUCUAGUCAGAGGAGACGGAUGCUCAAGCAUGCAAUUCUGAUGCUAUGUAUUAAGGGACAUGACAUGGGCAGCUCAGGUGUUGACACAGCACAUAGCAGAAGCAUCUACACUGGACUUGAUAGGUCAGAAGGCUUCCUGGGGGAAGUUGUAUCUCAAACGGAACUGGAAGGAUAAGCAGGAGUUAGGCCAGAUGAAGAUAAGAUAGAAUACAGUAAGGGAGUUCCAGGAAGAAAGGACUGCAGAGAAGAAAGAGUGUGAUAGAGUAAAGCCCUGAAAUUAAAUGUUGCUCUGUGGGUGGAUCAGAGGAGACACAACAGAGGCUGGAGGCCAGGUACUAAAGGGCCUUGCGUACUACUUGAAGGAAUUUAAAUUUGAGUGAAGAGUUAGAAGGUUCUUGUAGUAAUCUAUUUAAUCUAUUUUAAACCUGUGUCUUGAUGGUAAGUGAUGGUUAGCAUUCCUGAAUGAAAUUGCUAAAUUUUUCAUGCUUCUUUUUCUAUUUCAGGUAUUAUAGACUAUGCAGAGAUUCAAAUGUAAGGAUUCCUAUAGUAAAUUUCUCCUGAAGGGGCUGGCUCGAGGCACUGUGAUUAAGUUUGUCAUGCUCCGCUUCAGCCACCUGGGUUUGUGGGUUUGGAUCCCAGGCGCAGACCUAUACUGCUCAUCAGCCAUGCCAUUGCAGCAACCCACAUAUAAGUGGAGGAAGAUUGGCACAGUUGUUAGCUCAGGGCUAAUCUUCCUCAGCAAAAAUAAAUAAAUGAAUAAAUAAAGAUUCUCUUGGUAUUGAGUGUGAAAAAAACCUUACCACUAAAUGUUUAUACAUCCUUUUAUUAGAAAAAUCAGAAGUGGAAAACUCAAUGGUUUUGCUUUUAAGAAGCUAAAAGCACAUUUUGUGUUGC
rnacentral:lncRNA from 1 species